GAUGAACGCUGGCGGCGUGCCUAAUACAUGCAAGUCGAGCGAACGGACGAGAAGCUUGCUUCUCUGAUGUUAGCGGCGGACGGGUGAGUAACACGUGGAUAACCUACCUAUAAGACUGGGAUAACUUCGGGAAACCGGAGCUAAUACCGGAUAAUAUUUUGAACCGCAUGGUUCAAAAGUGAAAGACGGUCUUGCUGUCACUUAUAGAUGGAUCCGCUCUGCAUUAGCUAGUUGGUAAGGUAACGGCUUACCAAGGCAACGAUGCAUAGCCGACCUGAGAGGGUGAUCGCCCACACUGGAACUGAGACACGGUCCAGACUCCUACGGGAGGCAGCAGUAGGGAAUCUUCCGCAAUGGGCGAAAGCCUGACGGAGCAACGCCGCGUGAGUGAUGAAGGUCUUCGGAUCGUAAAACUCUGUUAUUAGGGAAGAACAUAUGUGUAAGUAACUGUGCACAUCUUGACGGUACCUAAUCAGAAAGCGACGGCUAACUACGUG
rnacentral:rRNA from 1 species